ACGGACGGGAUAAGCGCUGAAAGCAUCUAAGCGUGAAGCCCCCCUCAAGAUGAGAUUUCCCAACACGUAAGACCCCUUGAAGACGACGAGGUAGAUAGGUUGGAGGUGGAAGUGCAGCAAUGCAUGGAGCUGACCAAUACUAAUCGGUCGAGGGCUUAUCCAA
rnacentral:rRNA from 1 species